GAUGAACGCUAGCUACAGGCUUAACACAUGCAAGUCGAGGGGAAACGACAUCGAAAGCUUGCUUUUGAUGGGCGUCGACCGGCGCACGGGUGAGUAACGCGUAUCCAACCUGCCCAUCGCUUGGGAAUAACCUUGCGAAAGUAAGACUAAUACCCAAUGAUAUCCCACGAAGGCAUCGGAAUGGGAUUAAAGAUUUAUCGGUGAUGGAUGGGGAUGCGUCUGAUUAGCUUGUUGGCGGGGUAACGGCCCACCAAGGCAACGAUCAGUAGGGGUUCUGAGAGGAAGGUCCCCCACAUUGGAACUGAGACACGGUCCAAACUCCUACGGGAGGCAGCAGUGAGGAAUAUUGGUCAAUGGGCGAGAGCCUGUACCAGCCAAGUAGCGUGCAGGAAGACGGCCCUAUGGGUUGUAAACUGCUUUUAUAAGGGAAUAAAGUGGGUCACGUGUGACUUUUUGCAUGUACCUUAUGAAUAAGGACCGGCUAAUUCCGUG
rnacentral:rRNA from 1 species